rnacentral:misc_RNA from 1 species
AUUUUUUUCUCUUAAAUCCUCACCCUUAAUUUUAGGGUUUUAACCCUAUAUAAAUACCCAUUUUUCUUUUUGUUGUAAGGGGGGAAGUGGGAGAGAAUAGCAACUUUAAAAGGACUAUUUUCAGUGCAAAGAUUAAAAAUUAGAAAUCUCCCCAAAACGCUGUUGCUCCUAACUCCUUUGUUUUAUUUUCUAUCCUUCUAUACUUCACUCACGCAACACUUCCAUCCUUCUCUCUCUACAGAUUCACGCUGCUCUCUCUCUCAAAUCUCUCUAACCAGCACUCUGUCCACAUUUACAUCCUCACAUCACUUUCUCUUAGCUUGGUGCCAUACCGAUUAGUAGUAAAAGGACGAAGACCCAUUCCCUUGCCACCAUCUUAAUAAGCAUUGUGAAUACUUUUGCAUGUAAUAUAACCAGAAAAAUGCCAGUCUAAGCCCAGUAAACAAUGAGUACCAAAUCCAUCGCCUUUGAUGCUCUGAAUUAUGAAGUAACCCCACAAUGGCCAUUGAACAUACUAAAACAGCUACCCAAUCUAUUUCAUCAACAAAAAAUUAGCAACAGAAAUGCAUUUUUCUAUUAUGCAAAGAUAGCAAUAAUAUAGCAUAGAACUGACAGAUAGAAGAUUUCUCAAUUUGAAUGGUAAAAAUCAAGAAUUCACCAAUGUAGACCAUUAAGCAGAAUAGAUAUAUGUACUCUACAUGAGGUCAAAUUGGCAUUUUAGAAAUAAUUUGGAAUUGAAGAGGCAAACAGGUAGGAGAAAAUAAUUAAUCAAGAGAAUUCCAUUCAACUAUUUAGAGCGAAUGACUAAUCAAGCUCCAUCACAUCUGUCAUUCAUUCCACCCUUUUGGGGUAGAACCCUCUUUUCUAUUAAGGAAAUACAUCCAACAGUUACCCUUAUGAAUUUCGAAGGGAGAUUUAUUUGAGGCAUAAUCAAUUGAAAGAAUAGGAUAAGAAGUAAACGAUAUAAUUUCCAACUUGAUCCUUCUAAAUGCAAGAAAGAAAAGCAGCUUUACUGCAACCAAACUGCACUAUUAAUUUCCUUUUGACAAUGAUAAUGCAAGUCUGGCCGCAGGCUAACAAGGGAAAAUGAUAUCUUUACAUGCGAUUCCUGGACAUGUAAGCAUGUGACCCUAUGUGGAUACUUUAUGUUGGAAAUAGCACAAAUAACCAUGAGAUGCAGGAAUGAAGUCAUCAUUUUGUACCACCUUCAUAGCAAAAGAAUAAUUCCAAUUAAUAUCAUUCAAAUCAAAAUACUAGAAAAUAAAAUUUUCUAAAGAGCAUGAGUAGAAGGGUAAGAAGGAAGCUGAGAAAAAAGCAUCAAACAAUUCCUCAUUUAAACAAGAUAGAGUGAUUCAACCACGGCUCCAUUUGGUCAACUUGCUAAAGAUUUUCUUUUUCUAAUUUUGGUGCCUACAGUUGGUCCUUGUUAGGGAGAACCUCAAACAAGGUACUUGAUAAAAACCAUGUAAUGAGAUAGUUAUAACAGAAAGAUAGAUAUGAUAAAAAUCAUGUAAUAAGCUGAUAAAGAGUGCAAAUUAGUUUGGGGACAAACCUGCAGAUAUUACCAUCCAUGAAUCAAUAUCUUCCAUAAAGUAAGCACGAUACCUCUAUUAAUCAAAAAAAAUAUCCAAAGAAAAGCACACAAUCUAUCCACUUCCAAAAUCAUUAAUCUCAUUCUAUUGAGUGAUUGAUUUAGUUCACCAGUUCCCGUGGAGAAGAUGCCUGCUGGUAGAUGGAAUAUAGCUGAAACACAGCGUAGCAGAAGAGA